AGCUAAGCCCUUCUGAAACUGAAUUAUCCAAUGGAAGGAUUACCAUCAGACCUCUCACUGAAGAUCUUCUUGUUCUUGAAUCACCAGGACCUCGCAACGCCCAACAAGUUUGCAGGAAAUGGAGGGUCUUGGCUUCUAGCAAUAAUCUGUGGUGCAACCUAUUCAAGGAGAGGUGGGGAGAAGAUCAGGCCGCCUUCUACGCCCCAGUUGGUUCCAAGUUAUGGAAAGAUGUUUAUGUAGUGCAAGAUCGGUGUGAUCGAGUCGGAGUGGGAUUGAAAAUUGUCAAGGAAGGUGAUGACUACUAUCUUGUUCAUCAAGGAGAAAUCCAGCGGUACUUGGGUUCUAGAAAGGGUGACAAAGUGUCUCUGGUAGGUCCAAUUUAAAAGGAGGAUCUAGCAGGGAAGAAUCCAUGGGGGCAGAGGAACCUUGCUUAGGAAUUCUUGACAAGAUCCUUUUCUUCAUCGGCGACUUGGAAGUUGCAUCUAUAAAUGCAAAACGCAGUCGGGUGUUGUAAUUUAUCCAAGAUUUUGACUGCAUUUCCAUUCUGAAUGUAACUAUUGUAUAGAGCGAAGUUUGCAUUUCAUGCUUCCAUUCUACGUGACAUGUAUUAACCUGAGACUAUUUUUUGGGUGUUUGUAUUGCAGAAUGGAUAGGUCAGGUCGCGUUGACUGCAUUUCCAUUCCAAAUGUAUUUAUUGUAUAGAGCAAAGUUUGCAUUUCUGCUUCUGUUCUAUGCGAUAUGAUUAACCUGACUAUUUUUGUGGUGCUUGUUUUCCA